GUCUGGUGAUGAUGGCGAAGAGGUCACACCCGUUCCCAUGCCGAACACGGAAGUUAAGCUCUUCAGCGCCGAUGGUAGUCGGGGGUUUCCCCCUGUGAGAGUAGGACAUCGCCAGGCA
rnacentral:rRNA from 1 species